rnacentral:rRNA from 1 species
GACGAACCGUACGACCGUUAUUCGGAAUCACUGGGCUUAAAGCGUGUGUAGGCGGACCCGUCAGCGUCUUGUGAAAUCCCCCGGCUCAACCGGGGAACGGCUGGGCAUACUGCGGGUCUUGAGACACCUAGGGGCGAGCGGAACAGGCGGUGGAGCGGUGAAAUGCGUAGAUAUCGCCUGGAACGCCGACGGUGAAAACAGCUCGCUGGGGGUGUUCUGACGCUGAGACACGAAAGCCAGGGGAGCGAACGGG